rnacentral:rRNA from 1 species
GACUGACCGAUAGUGAACCAGUACCGUGAGGGAAAGGCGAAAAGAACCCCGGCGAGGGGAGUGAAAAAGAACCUGAAACCGUGUACGUACAAGCAGUGGGAGCACGCUUAGGCGUGUGACUGCGUACCUUUUGUAUAAUGGGUCAGCGACUUAUAUUCUGUAGCAAGGUUAACCGAAUAGGGGAGCCGAAGGGAAACCGAGUCUUAACUGGGCGUUAAGUUGCAGGGUAUAGACCCGAAACCCGGUGAUCUAGCCAUGGGCAGGUUGAAGGUUGGGUAACACUAACUGGAGGACCGAACCGACUAAUGUUGAAAAAUUAGCGGAUGACUUGUGGCUGGGGGUGAAAGGCCAAUCAAACCGGGAGAUAGCUGGUUCUCCCCGAAAGCUAUUUAGGUAGCGCCUCGUGAAUUCAUCUCCGGG